GUGGGCCAAAUCCGGCCCGCGGGCCUUGACUUUGAUAGCUUUCAUUAGUAGCCAGUGAGAAGAUGUAUUUUUGAUGUGACGGAUGUAAACAGAGGUCUUGACACCGGAAGUAUAUUACCUGAGGGGGCGUGGCUACAGGAUAGAGUUGCCAAAUGAGAAACUUUUUCUGAGUUCUUUGCAUGCACGUUGUCUAAUUUCACGUUACAUUUUCAAUGAUAAUAAUGUUGGUAAAUGAUCUACUAAUGAAUUAUGUGGGACACGUAAGUGUCAAAAAGAAAGCCAAAAGAGGUUGGUCGAUGAGAAUUGUCAUGAUCCGUUGCCCAGGUCAUGUUUUGUUUAGUUGGAUAUUUCUUUAGUUGUUGGUCAGUUCUGUUUCAGCACCCUUGUUUGUUUUCUUAGUUGAUUUUUGUCACCUGCCUCUGAUUAGUGGCCGGGACGCUCACCUGCUCCUGGUCACUAAUCAGAGAGCUAUUCAUUCCUGCCUCGCGCCGCACUCUUCCUGGCAGUCCUUUUCACAACACACGACAUUUACGUUGAUGUUUAUUUGGAUAUGAGUUUUUGCUCCGUUGUUUUCUAGUCGUAUUGCCAAGCUUUGCCGUAGCUUCUAGUGCCAUCCGCACAUUUUCCUUUUUUUUCGUAUUUUUGUCGUGUUAUUUGAAUAAAUCAUCCUUCUUACCUGCACACUGCUUCCUGGCGACCUUCUGCAUCUUGAGGAAACAGCCUUUGCAAAACAAUGCGACCCCGACGUGACAAGAAUAAAUCUAUAGGCAAAGACCAACGACGCAGGGUAGCCACACCCGACUAUUUGCUUACUCGAAGCAGCCUGUCACGGUAGUCCAGACGCAAUGACGCCUGAUGAGUCUGUCCAGAAGAGUGUAAGAGACGUCCAAUCCUCAACGUGUCAUCCCGGACGAAGCCCCCAAAUUGUUGCGCGCGACCAGUCUUCCUCUCAGGAAAUAAAACACACCGGUCAAUCCCAAGUUCUUUUGGAUGACAUAUAUGUUGAGUAAGAAGAACCACCGAGACAGAAUAGUACUCGGCCAAGUAUUACUAAAGCCUUUGGAGACCAGCCCUUGCAACGCGACAAAAGCAUCCGCAAGAAGAGGUCUACCGUAUUUUUCGGACGAAAAGUCGCAGUUUUUUUCAUAGUUUGGCCGGGGGUGCGACUUAUACUCAGGAGCGACUUAUGUGUGAAAUUAUUAACACAUUACCGUAAAAUAUCAAAUAAUAUUAUUUAGCUCAUUCACGUAAGAGACUAGACGUAUAAGA